UAAUACGGAGGAUCCAAGCGUUAUCCGGAUUUAUUGGGUUUAAAGGGAGCGUAGGCGGCCUAUUAAGUCAGGGGUGAAAGACGGUGGCUCAACCAUCGCAGUGCCUUUGAUACUGGUAGGCUUGAAUGUAGUUGAGGUAGGCGGAAUGUGACAAGUAGCGGUGAAAUGCAUAGAUAUGUCACAGAACACCGAUUGCGAAGGCAGCUUACUAAGCUAUGAUUGACGCUGAGGCUCGAAAGCGUGGGGAUCAAACAGGA
rnacentral:rRNA from 1 species